rnacentral:rRNA from 1 species
UGCAUAUCAAAAAAGCGGAGGAAAAGAAACCAACAGGGAUUGCCCCAGUAACGGCGAGUGAAGCGGCAACAGCUCAAAUUUGAAAUCUGGCUUCGGCCCGAGUUGUAAUUUGUAGAGGAUGCUUUUGGUGCGGUGCCUUCUGAGUUCCCUGGAACGGGACGCCAGAGAGGGUGAGAGCCCCGUAUAGUUGGACACCAAGCCUUUGUAAAGCUCCUUCGACGAGUCGAGUAGUUUGGGAAUGCUGCUCUAAAUGGGAGGUAUAUCUCUUCUAAAGCUAAAUAUAGGCCAGAGACCGAUAGCGCACAAGUAGAGUGAUCGAAAGAUGAAAAGCACUUUGAAAAGAGGGUUAAAUAGUACGUGAAAUUGUUGAAAGGGAAGGGCUUAUGACCAGACUUGUGCCGGGCUGAUCAUCCACGGUUCUCCGUGGUGCACUCUGCCCGGCUCAGGCCAGCGUCGGUUCUGGCAGGGGGACAAAAGCUUAGGGAACGUGGCUCCUCCGGGAGUGUUAUAGCCCUUUGCUCAAUACCCUUGCCGGGACCGAGGUCGCGCUCUGCAAGACGCGCAAGAGAGACUU